GUUCCCUUUGGUGAUCACCUGAAAGUUAAUUGGAUAACGGAAGAGCGAUCAAAGGAACCGUAACUGAUUUAAUGAGCCAUUCGCAGUUUCACUGUACCGGCCGUGUGUGUACUUAGACUUGCAGGGCUUAAUCUUUGAGACAAGCAUAUGCUACUGGCAGGAUCAACCAGGUUAGACGA